AACGAACGUUAGCGGCGCGCCUAACACAUGCAAGUCGCACGAGAAAGGGCUUCGGCCCCGGUAAAGUGGCGCACGGGUGAGUAACACGUGGGUAAUCUGCCCUCGAGCUGGGGAUAACGGUCCGAAAGGACCGCUAAUACCGAAUAAGACCACGACCUCGAAAGGGGAUGCGGUCAAAGCUGGCCUCUAUUCAUAAGCUAGCACUUGAGGAUGAGCCCGCGGCGCAUCAGCUAGUUGGUGAGGUAAUGGCUCACCAAGGCUAAGACGCGUAGCUGGUCUGAGAGGAUGAUCAGCCACACUGGAACUGAGACACGGUCCAGACUCCUACGGGAGGCAGCAGUGGGGAAUCUUGCGCAAUGGGCGAAAGCCUGACGCAGCGACGCCGCGUGAGUGAUGAAGGCCUUCGGGUUGUAAAGCUCUGUGGGGAGAGACGAAUAAGUGCGGCCUAAUACGUUGCAUGAUGACGGUAUCUCCUUAGCAAGCACCGGCUAACUCUGUGCCAGCCGCCGCGGUAAAAC
rnacentral:rRNA from 1 species